CCCUUUCUUUCUCGGAAGGCCAUUGCUGAUGAAGCACUCGCAGCUCUGUUUCAUAUUUAACAUUGAUCAGAGGGCACAAUCAUGGCUCAAGCUUCUAGAUUUAAUUUUCAGAUUCUGCAGCAUACUUCAUGGGAGCCUGAACUUGAUACAGAGAAGACUUGCAGAGCCCUGGCUGAAAAAAGGGAAGUGCUUCACGUCCAAUCUGUUGGCUCCAGCAUAAAAUGGUCAGAUGGACACUCUCAAUCCUGCUGUGAACUCACAGGAGAACAUUGCUGCUCUAUGAAAUGAGCUUGCCUCCUGCCUUCUUGUAUCCAGCAUCAUUCUGAAGGCAAGCUGAAGGGCCUCUGCAGUGUCUACAGCAGAAGGAUAUGCAAAGACAUUUGGAAGACGAAACCACACAGUCUUUAGGACAAAGAGGAUAGCAAGAAAGGAAAAAUGACUUCAUGCAAAUCCAAUCAACCAUCUGAAAGCUGAGGAUUUAUCUGGGGAGCUUUAAAAAAAUAAGCUAUUAACAGUACCCCCUCCCUACUACAAGCAGAAACACUCGGAGAACAGGCUAGAUUGUGGUUUCCUGUGAUUCAGGCUCAGAAGGUGUAAGACAGUGGGUCUGAAUUCCAUUUUUAAAGAAGUGCUCAGGGAUCGGUGCCACAGCAGCCAACAAGUCACAUUUCAGGUGCCAGUGAUUUAAACAGCAUGAGAGGAAUAGGAUUUGUCUUCCCUGUAUUAGCAUCACUUAACGAAGAUCCAGAAGACUAUCUGACAUUGAAGGAGAUAAGAAAGCUGCAACAUGAAAUUCAAACUCAUUAAGCAUAAGCUAGAACUUCACUCCUCCUACUGUGUACCAGGUAUUCCUAUGAACUGGAAUACUUAAAAAUGGUAAAAUUGGAUCCCCACUCUUUAAAGUUUUACAGUUCUCAGAGAAGACAAGCUACUUAUAACAUACUACAAUAUUUCCAGUACCCUAUUGCCGAAGAAGAAGAAGAAGAAGAAGAAGAAGAAGAAGAAGAAGAAGAAGAAGAAGAAGAAGAAGAAGAAGAAGAAGAAGAAGAAGAAGAAGAAGAAGAAGAAGGGGAGGGGGAGGGAGAGGGGAGGGGAAAGGAGGAGGAAGAAAAGAAGAGGAGGGGAUAGAGAAAGAGGAUGAAGAGGAGGAGGAGGAGGUGGUGGAGACUCCUUUCACCUCCAUAACACCACUCCCUGUUUUCCUUUCAUAAAUUGUUAUCAUUAGUCAUGGGCUGGCUCAUCUUCUUGACAUUAGAGCCACUCUGCUCCCGCCUUGUUAGACUCUCUUAGAUACUAACCCCAGUCAUGCUUCAAGUGACAGUCUGAUACAAUUUUACUUCGUGAUAGCUUCUCUCACUCUUGCCUACAGAUUGGAUGACCAUUUCUGCAUCUCUUCCUAGUACCCUACCUGUGAUAAUUUAUUACAUAUCACACAUGUAUUUCCUUCUUUCUUUAGGUAGUAAACAUCCUAAAGUCAAGUGUAUAAUCUUUUUAUUAUAGUGUUUCCACAAAUGUCAUAAUAAAUAUAACAAUGACUUUCUGAGACUAGGUCCUCAAAAAACAAGUUAUGAAUGAACUUAGUAAUAGGAACGUAGGAAUGAUAAUAGGUUAUGAGAGCAUGAUUAAGUACUAUAGUAUUGAUCUACCAAAACAGUUUGAGAAAUUGAGGCUUCCCCCACAUUCAAACCUGGUCCUGCAAAGAAAGCCAAAACUCAUAUCUAUGGGAUUCAUGGACCCCAAGGAAGAAUCUUGUAGUACUGUUUUUUUUUCCCUAAAAGGUCAUGCUGUCAAGCUGCCUUUUAAAUAUUUAUAUUUAAACUAAUAGAUUUAUUCUUCCCCUAACACUGGUCAGAAAUGCUUUUUAUCAUAGUGGGUAGGGCUUAAUGUAGAGAGCCACUGCUGUUCAAAGUUCUGAGAAUAAAUAAGCAUCUAUGAGUGCUCAGCAGUAAUAGAUGGGACAGCAGCAUCAGCCUUCCCCCAGUGCUAAAGGAACAGCUAGGGAAAGGGAAGGAAAGAAUAUGAGGGCUGAAAUAUUAUGGAAAACACUGUGAAAUGCUGUAUUUUAGAUAUGAAAUGGCAAUUGCAUACCUGAACUUGAAGCAGCUAUGGUAUCUGCACAAUUAUCUUCCAAAGAUAGAGCCAGUUAAAAUUCUAGUAUUUGGGGACAGGAAUAUCCUGAUUCCUCAUUGCUAGCUGAAGAGCUAUGGUUAGCUGAUGAUUUCUGUUAGAGGCUCAUUAUUCUUUGAGUAUGUAUGUAGUUGAUUCUCCUUGCCCGAAUGAAUAACUCAACACUCAUGUAAUUGGGGGCAACACAAAUUGGACUCAAUGGGCUAAAAACAUAGAUAAAUACAUAGAGUAGAUAGAUAGAUAGAUAGGUAUAUAGAUAGAUAGAUAGAUAAUAGAUAGAUAGAUAGAUAGGUAGUCAUAUAGAGAGAUAUAUGAUAGAUAGAUAGAUAGAUAGAUAGAUAGAUAGAUAGAUAGAUAGAUGAUAGAUAGUUAUAUAUAGAUAUGAUAGAGAUAGAUGGUGGAUAGAUAGAUAGAUAGAUAGAUAGAUAGAUAGAUAGAUAGAUAGACAGACAGAUGGAUAGAUAGAUAAGGAGGACAUGAAGUUGGAAAGGAAAAGUUACCUAGGUUCUUGGGUUGUUAGAAGGGGAAUGAAGUCUGAGUCCACAGGAUCAAGUUACAUUGUAUUCAUAUAUGAAAAUUUCAAAGAAUAAAAAAUGAAAAAAAACAUUUAUAUACUACUGGUUAAAAUAUCAGCUUCAAGAGAAAAUUAUAACCUUUAUCAGACAUUAAAAAUUAGUGUGAGGAAAAUGUUUGAGCUAGAACUUACCUACGGUAGAAUUUUCAAGGCAGUACUAGGCAUCAGAGAAACAAAGAUGUUCUAAGAACCAAGACAUUUUAGAUUAAAUCAUACAAGAUUUGAGAACUAAAGUAUAAAAGGAAAAGGAACAGAGGGUUCUAAACAGAAAGCAAAAUGGUUAUGACAACCCUGUGGUUUCUCACUUCCUGAAUGUUACUACAGACUGGAAACAAAUGUCUAAACCACGUCUUACAGACACUAACUGCCAUGCUGGCCUAUCAUAUGUUUUGUUUGUUUGUUUGUUUGUUUUGCUAUAAUUUUCAGCUUGCCACUGUCAGAAGAUUAGUUAUUAUAGACUGUAAGAUAUUGGUCCUAUAUAAUAUAUUCUAUAUUGUUCAUUUUUCUUUUUAAUUAGCAAGGUUGUGGGUAUUAUUAUGAAAUUUUCAUAUAUUUAUAUACUCAUGUCAAUAUACUUUGUUCUUACCCAGCCUGCACUGCUCUCCCCCACUACCUCCCUAUUCCUAUCUGAUAUAACCUUCUUCCCUAGAUAUAGUCCUCUUGCUGCUUUAAUGUCACAUGUGUUCCAUCACCAGCCCUUUAUCCCCUCCCACUCUGUUUGUUUUUGAUGUAUAGUAAUGUCUUGCUUACGUGAAUGUCUAUUAACUACAUGUAAGUCUGGUGCGCACUGAGUCCAUGGCAUGCAUGGGCUCUCUUGAAUCUGAAAUUACAGACACUCGUACAGCCACCGUGCUGGUACUAGAAAUCAAAAUUGAAUCUUCUGGAAGAGUAGUCAUUAUUCUUACCCACAGAGCCAUGUCUCCAGUUGCCUCCAUGUAAUUUUUUAUGUGUUUUGAUCCUUUGAUACACGUCAUACAUUUAUAAAACAUUUGCUGAUCCUUUCUUAUCCUCCUUUCACUCUUGACAAACCUGUACUCAUCAGCAAGUCCUCUUCCUAUAUCAUGUCCUUUUAUCUAUUUGUUUUAUUUACUUAAUUACAGAGACCUCCAAAAUCCUCUAUGCUCAUAGGUGGCAGAGCAUGACUUCAAAUCCAGCUCUAGCUUCCAAAUUCAAGGUUCCCAAAUUCAAGGCAGACUGUGUCUGCCUUCUGUUAGCAUGAGUGUUGGUGCUAAAUGUAGGUGUGACACCUUGUGAUAUUUGUUGACUAUGGUGAAGACAUGUUUCCCUUUGAGAAUUUGCCUCAGUCAAUAUAGACUUUGAAUAAAUGCAAGCUGACUCUUUGCUCAAAGCAAACAUCAUCAGAAGACAUCCUGCCUCCUGGAACUGGAAAAGCCAUCCUCAAAUAUGAAUAUGCUAAAAGCAAGUAACUCUGUUAGUAGGGACAAUCCUCAGGCAACAUUCUGCAUUUCUAUGUUUUCGACUCCUUCUUCCAGCUCUUCUUACACUCUCUCUGCCCCUAUUCCUUGAUAUUCCCUGAGUCUUAGAAGAGGAGAGUUAAUAUAGAUGUCUCAUACAUAGCUGCACACUUACUGUUAUUAAUUUUGCACCUUGAACAGUAAUGAAUGUUUGCAUUAAGCACUACCCACUACCAAAAAAAAAAAAAAAAAAAAAAAAAAGCAAAGUUGGGAGCAGCAUGAUUCUAUGGCUAUAAAUGUAAACCUUUUGAAGACAGCUUGACAACAUGGCAAUUUAUUAAAACAACAAUAAGCCCUCCCUUAUCAGUUCCCUAUCAUCUCCCAUGUAUCACUUUCAUCAAUUUUUACAGUACAGGGUAAUCCUCUCCUCCUGUGGAACAGCCUGAAAUCAAAUCAAGAAAGUUAUUGGUUCCUCCCGUACAUUCUUGUUACCACUGUACCAUUUGGGACACUUUCUCAGACCAAUUGGUAUAAUGACAUGCAGAGGCCAGUUCUGGUUAAAACCAUGGCUGCUUUUCCUUAUCAGAUAGCAUCUUCCAGUGCAAUGAAAACUAACCAGUGAGAAGGGUUUCCUAGUCAGUUCAAAAGUGAACAGUCUGUGUCUUGCAACUGAAGCGUGUGGUAUAUUUAGCAGCAGAACAUUACCAAUAAAUUAUGAUAUUAC